UACGUAGGGCGCAAGCGUUGUCCGGAAUUAUUGGGCGAAAGAGCUCGUAGGUGGCUUGUCGCGUCUGUCGUGAAAGCCCGGGGCUUAACUCCGGAUCUGCGGUGGGUACGGGCAGACUAGAGUGAUGUAGGGGAGACUGGAAUUCCUGGUGUAGCGGUGAAAUGCGCAGAUAUCAGGAGGAACACCGAUGGCGAAGGCAGGUCUCUGGGCAUUAACUGACGCUGAGGAGCGAAAGCAUGGGGAGCGAACAGG
rnacentral:rRNA from 1 species